UGCAAGUCGGACGAGCUUCCGUUGAAUGACGUGCUUGCACUGAUUUCAACAAUGAAGCGAGUGGCGAACUGGUGAGUAACACGUGGGAAAUCUGCCCAGAAGCAGGGGAUAACACUUGGAAACAGGUGCUAAUACCGUAUAACAACAAAAUCCGCAUGGAUUUUGUUUGAAAGGUGGCUUCGGCUAUCACUUCUGGAUGAUCCCGCGGCGUAUUAGUUAGUUGGUGAGGUAAAGGCCCACCAAGACGAUGAUACGUAGCCGACCUGAGAGGGUAAUCGGCCACAUUGGGACUGAGACACGGCCCAAACUCCUACGGGAGGCAGCAGUAGGGAAUCUUCCACAAUGGACGAAAGUCUGAUGGAGCAAUGCCGCGUGAGUGAAGAAGGGUUUCGGCUCGUAAAACUCUGUUGUUAAAGAAGAACACCUUUGAGAGUAACUGUUCAAGGGUUGACGGUAUUUAACCAGAAAGCCACGGCUAACUACGUGCCAGCAGCCGCGGUAAUACGUAGGUGGCAAGCGUUGUCCGGAUUUAUUGGGCGUAAAGCGAGCGCAGGCGGUUUUUUAAGUCUGAUGUGAAAGCCUUCGGCUUAACCGGAGAAGUGCAUCGGAAACUGGGAGACUUGAGUGCAGAAGAGGACAGUGGAACUCCAUGUGUAGCGGUGGAAUGCGUAGAUAUAUGGAAGAACACCAGUGGCGAAGGCGGCUGUCUAGUCUGUAACUGACGCUGAGGCUCGAAAGCAUGGGUAGCGAACAGGAUUAGAUACCCUGGUAGUCCAUGCCGUAAACGAUGAGUGCUAAGUGUUGGAGGGUUUCCGCCCUUCAGUGCUGCAGCUAACGCAUUAAGCACUCCGCC
rnacentral:rRNA from 2 species